GAUGAAGAACGCAGCGAAAUGCGAUACGUAAUGUGAAUUGCAAAUUCAGUGAAUCAUCGAGUCUUUGAACGCACAUUGCGCCCCCUGGUAUUCCGGGGGGCAUGCCUGUCCGAGCGUCAUUGCUGCCCUCAAGCACGGCUUGUGUGUUGGGCCCCGUCCUCCGAUCCCGGGGGACGGGCCCGAAAGGCAGCGGCGGCACCGCGUCCGGUCCUCGAGCGUAUGGGGCUUUGUCACCCGCUCUGUAGGCUCGGCCGGCGCUUGCCGAUCAACCCAAAUUUUUAUCCAGGUUGACCUCGGAUCAGGUAGGGAUACCCGCUGAACUUAAGCAUAUCAAUAAGCGGAGGA
rnacentral:misc_RNA from 1 species